rnacentral:rRNA from 1 species
AACGAACGCUGGCGGCAGGCCUAACACAUGCAAGUCGAACGGGACCUUCGGGUCUAGUGGCGGACGGGUGAGUAACGCGUGGGAACGUGCCCUUUGGUUCGGAAUAGCCCCGGGAAACUGGGAGUAAUACCGGAUAAGCCCUACGGGGGAAAGAUUUAUCGCCAAAGGAUCGGCCCGCGUUGGGUUAGGUAGUUGGUGAGGUACUGGCUCACCAAGCCGACGAUCCAUAGCUGGUUUGAGAGGAUGAUCAGCCACACUGGGACUGAGACACGGCCCAGACUCCUACGGGAGGCAGCAGUGGGGAAUCUUAGACAAUGGGGGAAACCCUGAUCUAGCCAUGCCGCGUGAUCGAUGAAGGCCUUAGGGUUGUAAAGAUCUUUCAGUGGGGAAGAUAAUGACUGUACCCACAGAAGAAGCCCCGGCUAACUCCGUGCCAGCCGCCGCCGUAAUAC